AAGACAUUAGUAAAAUAUAAAUACACCACCUUGUCAAGGUGAAAUUGUGGGUUAGACCCCCGCAUGUCUUU
rnacentral:tRNA from 1 species